rnacentral:rRNA from 1 species
UAGAGUUUGAUCCUGGCUCAGGAUGAACGCUGGCGGCGUGCUUAACACAUGCAAGUCGAACGAUGAUCCCAGCUUGCUGGGGGAUUAGUGGCGAACGGGUGAGUAACACGUGAGUAACCUGCCCUUGACUCUGGGAUAAGCCUGGGAAACUGGGUCUAAUACCGGAUACGACCAUUCCACGCAUGUGGUGGUGGUGGAAAGCUUUUGUGGUUUUGGAUGGACUCGCGGCCUAUCAGCUUGUUGGUGGGGUAAUGGCCUACCAAGGCGACGACGGGUAGCCGGCCUGAGAGGGUGACCGGCCACACUGGGACUGAGACACGGCCCAGACUCCUACGGGAGGCAGCAGUGGGGAAUAUUGCACAAUGGGCGCAAGCCUGAUGCAGCGACGCCGCGUGAGGGAUGACGGCCUUCGGGUUGUAAACCUCUUUCAGUAGGGAAGAAGCGUAAGUGACGGUACCUGCAGAAGAAGCGCCGGCUAACUACGUGCCAGCAGCCGCGGUAAUACGUAGGGCGCAAGCGUUAUCCGGAAUUAUUGGGCGUAAAGAGCUCGUAGGCGGUUUGUCGCGUCUGCUGUGAAAGACCGGGGCUCAACUCCGGUUCUGCAGUGGGUACGGGCAGACUAGAGUGCAGUAGGGGAGACUGGAAUUCCUGGUGUAGCGGUGAAAUGCGCAGAUAUCAGGAGGAACACCGAUGGCGAAGGCAGGUCUCUGGGCUGUAACUGACGCUGAGGAGCGAAAGCAUGGGGAGCGAACAGGAUUAGAUACCCUGGUAGUCCAUGCCGUAAACGUUGGGCACUAGGUGUGGGGGA